UACGUAGGGGGCAAGCGUUAUCCAGAUUUACUGGGUGUAAAGGGAGCGUAGACGGCAGCGCAAGUCUGGAGUGAAAUGCCGGGGCCCAACCCCGGAACUGCUUUGGAAACUGUGCAGCUCGAGUGCAGGAGAGGUAAGCGGAAUUCCUAGUGUAGCGGUGAAAUGCGUAGAUAUUAGGAGGAACACCAGUGGCGAAGGCGGCUUACUGGACUGUAACUGACGUUGAGGCUCGAAAGCGUGGGGAGCAAACAGG
rnacentral:rRNA from 1 species